rnacentral:ncRNA from 2 species
GCAACCGAGGAGCGCUGCAACCCGCCCGCGCGGGCCAGGCUCGGUUCAGAUCCAACGGCGCUCACCCGUC